rnacentral:sRNA from 1 species
UUUAACCUGGCCUGGUCACUGUUCUCUUCAGAAUUCCCUCCUUGCUGUGUCCUACAGAUUGACUACUUCAACAAUCAGAUCAUUGUUGACCUCGUGGAGCAACAGCACAAAGGGAUCAUUUCAAUCCUUGAUGAUGCUUGCAUGAAUGUCGGCAAAGUCACCGAUGAAAUGUUUCUUGAAGCACUUAACAGUAAAUUGGGCAAACACGCACAUUUUUCCAGCCGAAAGCUCUGCGCCUCAGACAAAAUUCUGGAGUUUGAUCGAGAUUUUCGAAUUCGACAUUAUGCAGGCGAUGUAGUCUAUUCUGUCAUUGGUUUUAUUGACAAAAAUAAAGAUACUUUAUUUCAAGAUUUCAAGCGCCUUAUGUAUAACAGUUCAAAUCCUGUGCUCAAGAAUAUGUGGCCUGAAGGCAAACUGAGCAUUACAGAGGUGACCAAGCGACCUCUGACUGCUGCUACCUUGUUUAAGAAUUCUAUGAUUGCUCUAGUAGACAACCUUGCAUCAAAGGAACCAUAUUACGUUCGUUGCAUCAAACCCAAUGACAAGAAAUCU